GUCUCGUGAGAUGUCUGCCCUACCUCCACUGAAGGGAGGGAAGGAUGGGGUCCCACCCGGAAGAAGGUCCAUCCGUGCUGGUCAGGGUAAAGCAACAGAUAUCUCUCUAGUGUAGGCAUGCAGCCCCCCUUUCACGGUCUGGCUGAAGGCUAGUCCCUGACCUUGGUGUCCAUGCACGUAGUCAAAACUGUCCAAGUCUUUCUCUAAGGGAGAAAAGGAGGACCAGUUAAAGACUCAUUAGGAAGCAUAAACGCAGCCUGGCUCACCAGGUAAAAGUUUAUGACUUCAAUAUCCGGCUCAGCUGGGACCUGGAUGCUGUUUGCACGAACUUCUACCGGCUUUUUCUGCCUUUAGUUCUUCACCUGCCAUUGCAAGGCACUGGUAGAACUUCCCCAAAUGAAGACACUAGGCUUUUCGACACGUGGAUUUGAUGUGACUCAGCCAAGAAGACUUCUAACCCUGCUGCCCACUUAAACCUCGCUCUUGGGGUUCUGGAGACCACUGCCUCUCCAGCUCCUUCACGGAAAAGGAAAGAGGUGCUGCCUUGACUCCCUCAUCAGCAGGCCAUUCUGGUUUUGAAUUUUUUACCCUCUGCAUGUAUAACUUAAAGAAAAAAAAAUCAGCAUGCUUCAAAGCAAAAAGGAAAAUGCCCUGGUGCUUGCAAAUAAACACGGAAGAAAGAGAAAGGAGUUUCUCGGCUCCUCCCUUUCCCCACGUGGCCAGCCCUCUCGGCAGUUCCCCUGUGCAGGGGAUCCUUUCUGGUCACCGGAGAAGGAGAGAGUGACAAGUCCGCGGGGGAGCUGCAGUAAUACGUCCCUCAAUAACGCGCACCUCACGGGGCGCCUGGGUGGCUCAGUCACCCUAAGCGUCCGACUUUGGCUCAGGUCACGAUCUUUCUGUUUGUGAGUUCGAGCCCCGCGUCGGUUUCUGUGCUGACAGCUCAGAGC